rnacentral:siRNA from 1 species
GAAGUGUAUGAUUGGUGCCGACA